rnacentral:tRNA from 1 species
UAAGAAGUAGUAUAAUAGAGUUAUUAUUUUUGAUUUGAGAUCUUAGGAUAUUAUGUAAUAAUCUUCUUUU